rnacentral:misc_RNA from 1 species
GGUACUAAAGUGAUAAUGAAUAACCUUGUGAUACUAAAACAACGGUCAAAAAAAAUUCAAUCCUUAAAUAUCAAAGGACUAAACCAAAGAGUCACAUAAAUGGCCACAUUAUGGCCAAAUGCCAAAAUAAAGCAGGGUUCAUGCUAUUGUUGUUCAAAUUAAUUAUUUCUCAAUAAAAGACAAGGAAUUUAAAAAUAAAAAAAUUAAAAAAAAGAAGCUCAACUAAAGUUGUGUGAAUGCCUAAGCACUUUUGACAUUGUGAAAACAAACAUUUGGCAUCAGUUAAAGUGCAGAACAAGUGCGCAGGGUUCGGCAAAUCCCAAGUUUGAACAUUAUAAGUGCUCAAC